AUGCAUAUGGAUUUCCAGGUUCUAAUCUCUGGUGAAGCAUUGACGAUUUGGCUUGCGGAGAGUAGAUGGGUGACCUUCAGGUGUGCAGCACGGUACCUUGUUCGUGCUUGGUGCUCUGGGAGGAGGCCGGCAGGAGCUUCGGGAGGAGGCCGCCGGCAGCAGGAGCUCAGGGAGGCCGGCAGCCCCAGGUCCAGCUUAUCAGAUCAUGGAUAUAUGGGGUUCGCGAAAUUGAUGGACCUGUUCGCGCUUAUUAUCUGCACUUAUCUGUUUUCAAUUUCUGCCAGAGGAAAAAUAGGAAUCAACUCAAUCAACAGCAAGAUAACAGAGCCACUAUUGAGUCCGUCUGCAGGACAGCAGACAGAAACCAAAUGGACAUUUCUGUAUGGCAGGGCAAAAUUGAUGAGAUAA
rnacentral:rRNA from 1 species